rnacentral:Y_RNA from 1 species
GGCUGUUCUGAGUGCAUUGAUGUUUACAACUAAUUGAUCAAACCUGUUACAGAUUUCUUUGUUCCUUCUCCACUGCUUCACUUGACUGCCUUAA